UUAAGUCCGUAACGAGCGCAACCCUUGUCCUUAGUUACCAGCACGUUAUGGUGGGCACUCUAAGGAGACUGCCGGUGCAAACCGGAGGAAGUGGGGAUGACGUCAAGUCAUCAUGGCCCUUACGGCCUGGGCUACACACGUGCUACAAUGGUCGGUACAAAGGGUUGCCAAGCCGCGAGGUGGAGCUAAUCCCAUAAAACCGAUCGUAGUCCGGAUCGCAGUCUGCAACUCGACUGCGUGAAGUCGGAAUCGCUAGUAAUCGUGAAUCAGAAUGUCACGGUGAAUACGUUCCCGGGCCUU
rnacentral:rRNA from 1 species